rnacentral:rRNA from 1 species
GAUGAACGCUGGCGGCGUGCCUAAUACAUGCAAGUCGAACGGUGAAAGCGGAGCUUGCUCCGCUGGAUCAGUGGCGAACGGGUGAGUAACACGUGGGCAACCUGCCCCUCACUUCGGGAUAACUCCGGGAAACCGGGGCUAAUACCGGAUAUGACCUCCUUGGGCAUCCUUGGAGGUGGAAAGUUUUUCGGUGAGGGAUGGGCCCGCGGCCUAUCAGCUUGUUGGUGAGGUAGUGGCUCACCAAGGCGACGACGGGUAGCCGGCCUGAGAGGGCGACCGGCCACACUGGGACUGAGACACGGCCCAGACUCCUACGGGAGGCAGCAGUGGGGAAUAUUGCGCAAUGGGCGAAAGCCUGACGCAGCAACGCCGCGUGAGGGAUGACGGCCUUCGGGUUGUAAACCUCUUUCAGCAGGGAAGAAGCGAAAGUGACGGUACCUGCAGAAGAAGCACCGGCUAACUACGUGCCAGCCGCCGCCGUAA